UACAGAGGGUGCAAGCGUUAAUCGGAAUUACUGGGCGUAAAGCGUGCGUAGACGGUUAUGUAAGUCAGAUGUGAAAGCCCCGGGCUCAACCUGGGAAUGGCGAUGGAUACUGGCGGGCUAGAGUGCGGUAGAGGAGAGUGGAAUUCCCGGUGUAGCAGUGAAAUGCGUAGAUAUCAAGAGGAGCACCUGAGGUGAAGACGGGUUGCUGGGCUGACACUGACGCUGAGGCGCGAAAGCCAGGGGAGCAAACGGG
rnacentral:rRNA from 1 species